rnacentral:rRNA from 1 species
UACGUAGGGGGCAAGCGUUGUCCGGAUUUAUUGGGCGUAAAGAGCGUGUAGGCGGCUUUACAGGUCCGUUGUGAAAACUCGAGGCUCAACCUCGAGACGCCGGUGGAAACCGUAAGGCUAGAGUCCGGAAGAGGAGAGUGGAAUUCCUGGUGUAGCGGUGAAAUGCGCAGAUAUCAGGAAGAACACCCGUGGCGAAGGCGGCGUCUCUGGGACGGUACUGACGCUGAAGACGCGGAAAGCGUGGGGAGCAAACAGG